rnacentral:rRNA from 1 species
UACGGAGGGUGCGAGCGUUGUCCGGAAUUAUUGGGCGUAAAGAGCUCGUAGGCGGUCUGUUGCGUCCGCUGUGAAAACUCGGGGCUUAACCCCGAGCCUGCAGUGGAUACGGGCAGACUAGAGGUAGGUAGGGGAGAAUGGAAUUCCGGGUGUAGUGGUGGAAUGCGUAGAGAUCCGGAGGAACACCAGUGGCGAAGGCGGCUGCCUGGGCCUGGCCUGACGCUGAGGCGCGAAAGCGUGGGGAGCAAUCCGG